UGCAGUCGAACGAGAAAGUUUCCUUCGGGAAACCAGUAAAGUGGCGCAAGGGUGAGUAACACGUGAAUAAUCUGCCUACGAAUUCGGGAUAACUCGACGAAAGUUGUGCUAAUACCGGAUAAGACCACACUUCUUAUGGAGCGUGGCCAAAGGAGUCUCAAACUCCGUUUGUAGAUGAGUUCGCGGACCAUUAGCUUGUUGGCGGGAUAACAGCCCACCAAGGCGACGAUGGUUAGCCGGCCUGAGAGGGUGAUCGGCCACACUGGAACUGAGACACGGUCCAGACUCCUACGGGAGGCAGCAGUGGGGAAUAUUGCGCAAUGGGCGAAAGCCUGACGCAGCAACGCCGUGUGAGGGAUGAAGGCUUUUGAGUCGUAAACCUCUGUCAGAUGGGAAGAAUAAUGACGGUACCAUCAGAGGAAGCCCCGGCUAACUCCGUGCCAGCAGCCGCGGUAAUACGGAGGGAGCAAGCGUUGUUCGGAUUUACUGGGCGUAAAGCGCGCGCAGGCGGGCGGAUAAGUCGGACGUGAAAAUUGUGGGCUCAACCUACAACCUGCGUCUGAAACUGUUCGUCUUGAGUACAGGAGAGGUGAGUGGAAUCUAUGGUGUAGCGGUGAAAUGCGUA
rnacentral:rRNA from 1 species